rnacentral:snoRNA from 1 species
UUGAAGAGAUGAUGUAUGAACCUGCCAAUCCCUGAGUGUAGUCAUUGAUGUCUCCAUGUGGCUGAGCAA